rnacentral:rRNA from 1 species
GUGCGAGUNUCACNAUNNUNAGCCUUCCAGNCCUGUAAUUGGGAUGACGGUAAAUUUCACCCCUUUCCGGAGUAUCAAUUGGAGGGCAAGUCUGGUGCCAGCAGCCGCGGUAAUUCCAGCUCCAAUAGCGUAUAUUAAACUUGUUGCAGUUAAAAAGCUCGUAGUUGAAUUUCUGCUGCAUCAUUUAUAUUCCUUAAUCGGUUUAUUCAUGUUGUGGCUUUUUCUGGUGAUUAUACUUCGGUAUUAUUAUCCAGAUUGUUACUUUGAGAAAAUUAGAGUGCUUAAAGCAGGCAUUUGCCUUGAAUACUUUAGCAUGGAAUAACUAAGUAGGACUUUGGUUCUAUUUUGUUGGUUUAAGAGCCAAAGUAAUGAUUAAUAGGAACAGUUGGGGCUUNCCGUAUUUAAAA